GAUGAACGCUGGCGGCGUGCCUAACACAUGCAAGUCGAGCGGACGGACGAUAAGCUUGUUUCGCUGAUGUUAGCGGCGGACGUGUGAGUAACACGUGGAUCACCUACCUAUAAGACUGGGAUAAUCUCGUGAAACCGGAUCUAAUACCAGAUAAUAUUUUGAACCGCAGGGUUCAAAAGAGAAUGACGGCCUUUCUGUCACUACUAGCUGGAUCCGCGCUGCAUUGGCUAGUGGGUAAGGUAACGGCCUACCAAGGCAACGAUGCGUAGCCGAACUGAGAGGGUGGUCGGCCACACUGGAACGGGGACACGGACCAGAGUCCUACGGGAGGCAGCAGUAGGGAAUCUGCGGCAAUGGGCGAAAGCCUGACGCAGCGAGGCCGCGUGAGUGAUGAAGGUCUUCGGAUCGUAAAACUCUGUUAUUGGGGAAGAACAGCUGUGUAAGUAAACGUAGCGAGCGUGACGGUACCUAAUAAGAAAGCAACGGCUAACUACGUG
rnacentral:rRNA from 1 species